rnacentral:rRNA from 1 species
CCUACGGGAGGCAGCAGUGGGGAAUCUUGCGCAAUGGGCGAAAGCCUGACGCAGCCAUGCCGCGUGAAUGAUGAAGGUCUUAGGAUUGUAAAAUUCUUUCACCGAGGACGAUAAUGACGGUACUCGGAGAAGAAGCCCCGGCUAACUUCGUGCCAGCAGCCGCGGUAAUACGAAGGGGGCUAGCGUUGCUCGGAAUUACUGGGCGUAAAGGGAGCGUAGGCGGAUAGUUUAGUCAGGGGUGAAAGCCCAGGGCUCAACCUUGGAAUUGCCUUUGAUACUGGCUAUCUUGAGUACGGAAGAGGUAUGUGGAACUCCGAGUGUAGAGGUGAAAUUCGUAGAUAUUCGGAAGAACACCAGUGGCGAAGGCGACAUACUGGUCCGUUACUGACGCUGAGGCUCGAAAGCGUGGGGAGCAAACAGGAUUAGAUACCCUGGUAGUCCACGCUGUAAACGAUGAGUGCUAGUUGUCGGCAUGCAUGCAUGUCGGUGACGCAGCUAACGCAUUAAGCACUCCGCCUGGGGAGUACGGUCGCAAGAUUAAAACUUAAAUGAAUUGACGG